AUACCCUAUUAUUCUUAAAUAAUUUUAGGCAGUACUGAUUUUCCAAGAAAACCUAUGCAGUUUGGCGGCAUUUAAUCACUUUAGAGGAACCUGUCUUUUAAUCGAUACCCCACGCUAUUUUUUACUUUUUUAAAAAUCUUAUAUACCUCCAUCUUAAGGACUAAUAAAUACAUUUUCUCCUUAAUAGAUUUCUAAUAAGUUAGGUAAAGGUGUAGACUAUGAAAAAGUUAAGAUGGGUUACUAUAAAAUUUAUUUAAGGACUUAAAUCUAAAAGUUUAAUGAAAAAGGAUUUAUUAGUAGUAAAAGAAUUUUAAUCUUUUAUGAAAUUGAUAAACAAUGUGCACACAUCGCCCGUCGC
rnacentral:rRNA from 1 species